UUUGUCAAGAGUUUUUAAUUCUUUUGUAAGCAAUUUGGUACAAACAAACUUGGGAAAUGAUUUUAUAAUCAUAAAGGCACAUAACUUAAACUAGAACACAAGAUUCAAACUCAAACAACAUAUUUUAGACUAAGAAAAUCUUUAUAUUAUUGUACAGGGUGUAUCAAUAAAAACGCAACCUCGGAAUUUCCUAAGAAAUCACGUUGCAAUUCUUAAGCAUAAAAGAUUUUAGGCCCCUGGGAAUUGAAAUCGAAUUGCUAAUAGAUCAUAUUACUGUUGUUGUGCAUUAAAUA